AAUCCAUGAUUUGAGCAUUUUUUCAGCAUCAUUUUAAAUCUCUUUCAUGUCUCACAGAAGGCUUCAUCUGAUCCUUGUCUGAACAUAGAAAUAUCAUACUUUGCUU
rnacentral:snoRNA from 1 species